CCUGACUGCUCGAGUGCCUUCAUAGACCCGCUCUGUUGUUCACGACGUCCUCACAGGGCUUGCGUGUCCAUUUUUCUCUUCUGAUCAGGAUGGCCAGAGGCUGACGGUGAGAAGAGAGAGGAUGUCCAGAGGCUGACAGUGGGAAGACGGGUAUGGAUGGAUUGUGAUAGAGGAUGUCCAGAUGUUGAGAGAGGGAAGACAGGUGUGGAUGAGGAGUUUGGAUUGAGGUAGGAGACCCUCCUGUCCUCUCCUUGAUUUCUUUCCUUUGCUUGUCUCUGUGGAGUCUCUCUCUCUCUCAGUCCAGCUGCCUGUGGGCUGUGAAACUCCACAGUUUCACAGUGCUUACCUGGGCUUAGUUACCUGUAGGUUGCAGGUUUGAUUCCUGAGGGGGGACACAGCUCACUGUGCUCAGAUACUGUUCUGAUAUAAUGGUCCUCAUCGAGGCUGUACUGUAGGGAGUGUGGUGUUGACAGUGGUGUGCAGAAUUCUCACAAAUACUGUACCUGAACACUCACACUGACACACCUGUGUGCUGAGCUCUCACCUGGACUGUGCUUUAGUAUUUGAACAAGUGCUGAACUCUCAUCUCUUUUGAGCUUUUAUACUCAAACCUGUGUACUGAACUCACAUGUACUGCAGUGUAAUACUCAAACACAUCUGUGUACUGAACUCUCGACUGGA